rnacentral:rRNA from 1 species
CCUACGGGAGGCAGCAGUGGGGAAUAUUGGGCAAUGGGCGCAAGCCUGACCCAGCAACGCCGCGUGAAGGAAUAAGGCUUUCGGGUUGUAAACUUCUUUUCUCAGGGACGAAGCAAGUGACGGUACCUGAGGAAUAAGCCACGGCUAACUACGUGCCAGCAGCCGCGGUAAUACGGAGGUGGCAAGCGUUAUCCGGAUGUACUGGGUGUAAAGGGCGUGUAGGCGGGAAAGGAAGUCAGAUGUGAAAACCAUGGGCUCAACCUGUGGCCUGCAGUUGAAACUGUUUUUCUAGAGUACUGGAGAGGCAGACGGAAUUCCUAGUGUAGCGGUGAAAUGCGUAGAUAUUAGGAGGAACACCAGUGGCGAAGGCGGUCUGCUGGACAGCAACUGACGCUGAGGCGCGAAAGCGUGGGGAGCGAACAGGAUGAGAUACCCGUGUAGUC